AGAGACCAGCAAUCUGCUUCACUU
rnacentral:siRNA from 1 species